AUUGAACGCUGGCGGCAGGCCUAACACAUGCAAGUCGAACGAGUGGCGGACGGGUGAGUAAUGUCUGGGAAACUGCCUUAUGGAGGGGGAUAACUACUGGAAACGGUAGCUAAUACCGCAUACCAUCGGAUGAGCCCAGAUGGGAUUAGCUAGUAGGUGGGGUAAAGGCUCACCAAGGCGACGAUCCCUAGCUGGUCUGAGAGGAUGACCAGCCACCCUGGAACUGAGACACGGUCAAGACUCCUGCGGGAGGCAGCAGUGGGGAAUAUUGCGCAAUGGGCGCAACCCUGAUGCAGCCAUGCCGCGUGUAUGAAGAAGUCCUUCGGGUUGUAAAGUACUUUCAGCGGGGAGGCGUUACCCGCAGAAGAAGCACCGGCUAACUCCGUGCCAGCAGCCGCGGUAAUAC
rnacentral:rRNA from 1 species